CCUACGGGUGACAGCAGUGAGGAAUAUUGGUCAAUGGACGAGAGUCUGAACCAACCAAGUAGCGUGAAGGAUGACUGCCCUAUGGGUUGUAAACUUCUUUUAUAUGGGAAUAAAAUGUUCCACGUGUGGGAUUUUGUAUGUACCAUAUGAAUAAGGAUCGGCUAACUCCGUGCCAGCAGCCGCGGUAAUACGGAGGAUCCGAGCGUUAUCCGGAUUUAUUGGGUUUAAAGGGAGCGUAGGUGGAUUGUUAAGUCAGUUGUGAAAGUUUGCGGCUCAACCGUAAAAUUGCAGUUGAAACUGGCAGUCUUGAGUACAGUAGAGGUGGGCGGAAUUCGUGGUGUAGCGGUGAAAUGCUUAGAUAUCACGAAGAACUCCGAUUGCGAAGGCAGUUCACUGGACUGCAACUGACACUGAGGCUCGAAAGUGUGGGUAUCAAACAGGAUUAGAUACCCGAGGAGUC
rnacentral:rRNA from 1 species